rnacentral:rRNA from 1 species
AGCGAACGCUGGCGGCAGGCUUAACACAUGCAAGUCGAGCGGGCACUUUCGGGUGUCAGCGGCGGACGGGUGAGUAACGCGUGGGAACGUGCCCUCUGGUUCGGAAUAACUCAGGGAAACUUGAGCUAAUACCGGAUACGCCCUUUUGGGGAAAGGCUUGCUGCCGGAGGAUCGGCCCGCGUCUGAUUAGCUAGUUGGUGAGGUAACGGCUCACCAAGGCGACGAUCAGUAGCUGGUCUGAGAGGAUGAUCAGCCACACUGGGACUGAGACACGGCCCAGACUCCUACGGGAGGCAGCAGUGGGGAAUAUUGGACAAUGGGGGCAAGCCUGAUCCAGCCAUGCCGCGUGAGUGAUGAAGGCCUUAGGGUUGUAAAGCUCUUUUAUCCGGGACGAUAAUGACGGUACCGGAGGAAUAAGCCCCGGCUAACUUCGUG